UGCACAGAGACCUGGGGAAGGAAGCUGAACUUUGCAGAGAUGAGGACAGGUGCAGGCUAGGGUACAGGGUGGUGGUAGAGGAGACAAGUUUUAUCUCCAGGCCUCUCCAGCUUCACACUCUUGGCCGCUUCUCCAAUCAGCUCCCAGAAACUCCUGAACUCCAGUUUAGAGUCAUUGCAGCUGCCCAGGUUGGCAAUUUU
rnacentral:lncRNA from 1 species